UUAUUUUCCUCUUUUGCAGGUGAAGAAACUGAGGCAGCAGAAAUGAAGGAAUUUGACAAAGAUCAUACAGUUAAGUAGUAUAGGCAAGAUUCAAUUAAAGGAAGUCUGACCUUAAAACUCAUAUCUUAAAAGAAUUACCACAUGAUCUAGCAAUCGCAUUACUGGAUAUUUAUACAAAGGAAAUGAAAUUUGUAUGUCGAAGAGAUAUCUGCACUCCCAUGUUCAUUGCAGCAUUUUUCACAAUAGCCAAGAUAUGGAAUCAACCUAAGUGUCUAUCAACAGAUGAAUGAAGAAAGAAAAUGUAUACACAAUGGAGUAACAUUCAGCCUUAAAAGCAAGAAAAUCCAGCCUUAAAAAGGAAGGACGACCGGGUUGUCAUUUGGGACUACAUGGAUGAACCUGGAAAACAUUAUGUUAAGUGAAAUAAGCCAGGCACAGGAAGACAAUACUGCAUGAUCUCACCCAUUUGUGGAAUUUUAAAAAGUCAGAAGUCAGAAUCAUAAAAGUAGAGAGUCGCAUGCUGGUUACCAGGGGCUGGAGAGAGGUGGUGGUGGGGGGGUGGUGUUGGGGAAAUAUUGGUCAAAGGAGACAAAAUUUCAGUUAGGUAGGAGGAAUAAGUUCAAGAGAUCUAUUGUACCACAUGGAGACAAUAGUAAAUAACAAUGUAUUAUAGUCUUGGAAGUUGCUAAGAGAGUGGAUUUUAAGUGUUCUCAUCAUAUAAAAUGAUAAGUGUGUUCUGCAAUGCAUAUAUUAAUUAGCUCAAUGUAGUCAUUCCACAGUGUGUACAUGUUUCAAACAUGUUGCAUGUGAUAAAUAUAUACAAUUUUUGUUAAUUAAAAAACAUUUUAAACUCUCGAGAAAAGAACCAACAGCUUAAAACAUUCAUAUCUUAACCAGUAUGCUACAUAGUCUCUGGCUGAUACAGAUGCUGAAGGGCUGUUUUCAUUUCUUUUGAGGCCUUCAGGGCACUAACAUUGCAUGAACGCAUCUCUUAUUUUAAAAAUUACUUUCGGCAGCUGGACGCGCGUGAGCCACCAUGCAUGGGCCACACCAUUUCCUUAUUAAUGGCAAACAUUUGGUAAGGGCCUACUUGUGUGCCAGGACCAAUGCUGUGUGUUGAGGAUGUGAUGAUAUACAGAUUAUGUUUGUUGACCUUAAGGGGCUCACAAUGCAGAAGGGCCAGCAAUUAUAACAUUGGAUAGAGGCUAAAGGAGGGGCCCAUAAGUCAACUACUGUAGAAGAAAAAAACAGAUCCUUAGAGAGUGGGUACAGAGGGCACCAAAAACGUUUACUAAGGAGGCAACAUUUAAACCAAUUAUUGAAGGAUAAGUACACAUUCUCAAGGCAGAAAAGGCAGAAGGGGCUAGGCAAGGUGGCUCAUACUUGUAAUUCCAACACUUUGGGAGGCCGAGGUAGGAGGAUCACUUGAGCUCAGGAGUUUGAGACCAGCCUUAGCAACAUGGCAAAACCCCAUCUCUACAAAAAAUACAAAAAUUAGCCAGGUGUGGUGGCAUGCACUUGUAGUCCCAGCUACUUGGGAGACUGAGCUGGGAGGAUUGCUUGAGGCUGGGAAGUCAAGGCUACAGUGAGCCAUAAUUGUACCACUACACUCCAGCCUGAGUGACAGAUUGAGGCCCUGUCUCAAGGAAGGAAAAAAUUAAAGGAGAAGGGGAAGCCACUACAGAAGAAGGUAAUACAUUUUUUACAUGCUAGUUUGUUUGUAUGUUCCUGAACCUACUUAAAAAGGAGGUAGAGGCCGGGUGUGGUGGCUCAUGCCUGGUAUCCCAGCACUUUGGGAGGCCGAGGUAGGCGGAUCACCUGAGGUCAGGAGUUCAAGACCAGUGUGGCCAACGUGAUGAAACCCUGUCUCUACUAAAAAUACAAAAAUUAGCUGGGUGUGGUGGUGGGCGCCUGUAAUCCCAGCUACUUGGGAGGCUGAGGCAGGAGAAUCGCUUGAACCCAGGAGGCAGAGGUUACAGUGAGCCGAGAUUGUGCCAUUGCACUCCAGCCUGUGCAAUAGGAGCGAAACUCCGUCUCAAAAAAAAAAAAAAAAAAAAAAGGUAGAGACAAGAUCAAGAUCACAAAGUAUGUUUAGAUUAUGAAAAGAUUAAACUUGACCCAUAAGCAAACUAGAGAAUAAUGAAGUUUUUAAUCUAGUACUGUAAUUAUCAGAUCCAUAUUUUGGAUUAUCAUUCUGCUUUUAAUGUGGAGAGUGACUUGGUAGUUAAUAAAGUUGUUCAGGCUAGAAUAGAUAUGAGCUUUCCAAGGUGAAAGAUAAGGCAAGAAUUUGUGAGAUUUGGGAAGUAGAAAUUCUAGUGCCUGGUUAUUGAUAGGAUGUGGGAGUUGAGAGAGGGUAGCCUACAAUGACCUCUAGGUUUCUGAGUAGCUGGAUAAUGACAAAAAUACAUACCUCAUAACUUUUAAGAAGGACAUAUUUUUCACAUUUUGAUAUCUCUGAAGUUGAAGUUCAUCUUAUAUGUGAUGGUAUGUCUACUUAAUUGGCAGUGUUGGUAUCUUUUUCUUUCUCUGUGUUAUACUAAAUAAUGGCACAUCAUUCUCCACAUGAUGACAUCUUCGAUUUAACAUAAUAAGAGAAAUAAGAGCAGCAAAAUCAGUUUUGAACAAGACGGCCCAGAGGGAGAAGGUUACCACCUAUAAGAGAUGAGGGUGAUGGUGCCUUUAACCAAUAUUUAUUACUUUAUUAUUUAAAACAAAAACCAUAUCAUUUCCUGUUACUUAAGUCAGUCUCAGGACAUUGAACACUUGAUUAUUCUAGGCAGAUGAAAUUUCCUACUCUGGUAUCUGGACAUUGUGGAAUGGAGGUCAGGCUGAUGCUGUGCAGGCUUGGAGCUCACCUAGAAAUCUGGGUUUAUGGAAAAAUAGGGAAAUCUAUUAUAUUUUUUUACCAUCCUUUGUUGAAUUUUGCAUCCUGCAUUGCUAGAUGUCAAUUAUCAACAAAGCUCUUAAUAUAAAUGAGUAUCUUUACAUUUUCAAUCUUAUAGUCUUUCAGCAGUGCUAAAUACUUCAAUUUAUCCCCAAUUCUAAAAAAACAAAUUGGCACAAUCCAAUCAGUGGACACAAUGAGUCAAUAUGAUCUAUUACUAUAACACCUUAACCAGUCUUCAUACUUCUACUCCUGACCUAAGCAGAGGUGUCCAAUCUUUUGGCUUCCCUGGGCCACAUUGGAAGAAGAAUUGUCUUGGGCCACACUUAAGAAGAAUUGUCUUGGGCCACACAUAAAAUAAAUUAACACUAAUGACAGCAGAUGAGCUAAAAAAAAAUCACAAAAAAUCAUAAUAUUUUAAGAAAGUUUACAAAUUUGUGUUGGGCCACAUUCAAAGCCAUCCUGAGCCACAUGUGGCCCAUGGGCUAUGGGUUGGACAAGCUUGUUCUAUAGUGUAUUCUCCAGAAAUUCACCACAGUGGUCGUUUAAAACUACAAUUUCAUGUCAUUUCCCUGCUUAAAAACCCUUCAGUGUUUCCAGUCACCUUCAGAAUAAAAUCCAAACUUAGCUCAGCCUGUAAUGUCCUCCCUGAUCAGGGCUGCUUCCCUAAAUGACCUCAUCUUUCCUGUCUUACUCCUCUCUAGUCAGCCCUGCCUUCUUGCUGAACCCUCCAACAUCACUUUUUUCCCACCUGAGUACCUGUGCCCUUGCUGUUCUCUCUGCCUGGGCUGUCCUUCCUCUAGAUCUUCCCAAGGUUGUCUUUCUUCAUUUGGGUCUCUGUCAAAUGUCACUGGCCUUGUAAGACAUUGCCUAAGCACCUAAUCUAACACUUCAAACACCUCACAUUGCCAUGAUCUUUCCCUUCACCCUGCUUCAUUUCUCUUCAUUUCACUUACCAUAACCUGAAAUUAUAGAUGUAAUUGUUCACUCCAUUAACAUGUAAAAUACAAAAGAAAUACUUUGUCUUAUCCUGGAACUGGGCCUGGCACAUAGUAAAUUUUCUAUAAAUAAAUAUUCAUUAAAUGAACAUGAUCACGUUUAAGAUCUGAACUAAAUGUCACUGUACUUGGUAAGAGUCUCUGCUGUUCUGAAUGCCUAUCAUGGCCACAGCUCUUUCUCAACAAAAUGGCCAAAGAUCUUUGUGCACAGAUUUCCAUACUUUAUACUAAG
rnacentral:lncRNA from 10 species